GACGUAGGGUCCGAGCGUUGUCCGGAGUUACUGGGCGUAAAGCGUGCGCAGGCGGUUUUGUAAGUCUGACGUGAAAGCCCCGGGCUUAACCUGGGAAUUGCGUUGGAGACUGCAAGGCUUGAAUCUGGCAGAGGGGGGUAGAAUUCCACGUGUAGCAGUGAAAUGCGUAGAGAUGUGGAGGAACACCGAUGGCGAAGGCAGCCCCCUGGGUCAAGAUUGACGCCCACUGCACGAAAGCGUGGGGAGCAAACAGG
rnacentral:rRNA from 1 species